CAAAUUUGUAUUACCACAUCUCGGUGUUUUAAAAAUCAAAAUCAAAUUCCGUUCAAUAUCUAUGCAAAAAUGUGGAUUAUUUGACACUAGAUAUUUUUCUACCGGAUAUUUUUACGCCAGACUAAAUAUAGAAAACAAAUAGAAUAAGAACCUUUGCCACGGAUUUUAAGUCUACAUCUUGAAGACUUAAAUCAAGUCUUGUAUCUAACUGCUUAUUUAAAUUGCAUCGUUAUAAACUAUACCCAAACAAAUAUUAACUCAUGGAAAAGAAAAUCUUUGUAAUGUGCCCUGACUAAUAGCUGAU